UACAAAACAUAUUAUAUAUGUAUUAAGUAUAUUAUAUACUUAUAUAAAUGCAUAUAUCAUAUAUUUAAAAAUACAACUAAUAAACACACACACACACAUAUACACACACAACACAAUGCGUAUAGUUUGGUUUCUCUGGAUAGACCUCACCCACGUGAGGGCUCAAUCUUUCCAUAAUGUUCUCACCAACAAGUAUUUUCAAAAAUCUUCUCACCACGUACAUUCUUCCUUUCCCCAGUAAAUAGUCAGCACUUUCGUUGGUGAAUUAUUGAGGCCAGAACAGUGUCGUACAUGGAAUCCCUGAACAUCUUUGUCAGCACAGUGGGAAUGGAGCCUGUGCUACUGAACACAGAAUAGGGUCCUGAGUCAAUAAUCCCUUUCUACAGGAGGCUGGUCAGAGGCUGCACCUGCUGUAUGGUGUGGUUCUUCAUGGAGACAAACAAGUUGGCAGAGGGACCAUUGUCUGGUUGGGUUCUAGGGCCUCUAGUGUAAGCCCUGCUCCCUGACUGUCAUGGCAUCAGUGGGAUCUUUACAAAGUACCCACAUGUGCACAGGAGGGCAGGGAGCCCCCACUGCCACUUGGACUCUGUCUCCUCUUAGAUGGGACCACAGUUUCCUUCUGAGAAACUAGUCUCUAUUUUCAUAAUAGGGACAUUACCAAGAAAAUCACAGGCUAGAUGUGGAGUUAACAGGAUCACUCCAGCAUGAGAUCUGUGGAGCUGCCAUAGCCCUUCUGUCUUGUAUGCUGUGCCUCAAACUGCAAGAAGAGUCUUCUAUGUCUUCUCCAAUAAUUCAACAGUACUUAUUUCAAAAUCUUCCUUUAAUGAUGAGAAAAUAAACACUUUUGAUGGAGUGAUUUGAAAUGUUUUAGAAGUCCCUGAGGCCAACUAAUCCACCUGUGCUUUUAUUAUACUACAUGGGAAGGGAAUCAGCCGAGAAUGAGUAAGCAUUCAUGAGUCCAUUGAUUUUCUGGAUCAGAUGCCAUACAUGUGGUCUGGAUAUUUUCCCUCUCUUCCUCUCUUUCUCUUUUAACUUGCUAUUGUUUAAGGAAUCUCUAUAUUUGUUGUAUACUAAAUGAUGCAACAUACAUAUUGAUUUCUAUGAUUUUAAAAAUUGUACACACUUUAGCUGUAUUGUGCAUUAAUCAUAUUAUGUGCAAGUCUUAAUUUUGCCUCAUUUUGUGGUAAUCAAGCUUAUUAUUUCUGUUAUGUAUAAUUGUGUGGGCAGAAUACUCAAAAAGACUUGACAUGAAACACUUAGUCCUCUAUUAUGGGGGCCCUGAGGGUGCUGUUAGUACUCACAGAGAUGAAACAGCUGCAUGACAACUCCUCGGGAAGAGCUGUGUUGGUUAUCUGCAGGAAGCAUGUGGACACCAGAAUGUUCACAGACAGCCUCUCUGCUGUUAUCCCAAGACACAGUGAUCCAAACUGAUGGGCUGCAAGUCUAGUUUCAGAUGCAUCCCUGAUUCUGACAAGGUCAUGAUCUAGUUACUGUGGUAUUCUUAUCCAAAAAUUAGACGUCCUUACUUAAACAAUCGUCUAAAUAGUACAGUAGUUGAAUGUUUAAAGAACAGAAACAAUCUCAAGUCCCAAAUGAUUCUUGUUUCCCAGAACACUUUUCCUUGCCCCCAUCCCAGUGGUCACCACUCUGCUCAUCCCAUGCUCUGGGCCAGCAAUACAUUGUUCAGAAGCUCCUGAAGCCUCUGACUUGUGGUAUGAAUAGUGACAUGAAAAGAGUGUUAUCAGAGUAUCUCUAUUCCACAAAACUCCUGGAAAGGAGCCGUGAGUCCUGAACAGUUUUUCUCCAAACCCACCUGUUUCUAGAAAAGCACACUAGGUCAAACAUCUCUGUGGAUGAAGAGACGUUGCUUAGAAAGGACCUAGCUGUGAGGUCAGGUCACAUAUGUGCACCAAGAGGCAGACAGAGAACAUCCUGUGUUUCCUGGACAACCAGACUUGCCCUGUGAGAUGUCCCUGGAGCAGGACCCCUGAGACCAAUCUUGACUCCCAUCCCCUUCUCUGAGAGGCUCAGAACCUGAAUCCUUUCUCUGGAUUUCACUGAGGUAUUUUUCCACCCUCCUCAGCUCCCUGUCUUGCAUUAUUCUUAUUUCUUAAUCAUGUUGAGAAUCCAAGCAUUUUCUCUAUAUCCCUGUUUUGUCAUCCUCGAACCGACUGGGGCUGGAUUAAUUCAAUGUGUGAUGUUUCCUCAGCCCUGAGCCACGUCCACCUCACACACUCUAUCCCUACGAGUGGCUUUCCUGUUGACAGUGAGAAAGAGCAUCUGUGCCUCUCUAUGUUGCAGGUGCCGUAUUUCAUUAUGGAGGAAAUAAAGGAAAAUGGGAAGGAUCUUGAAUUGCACCAGAAAGGGUCAGAGCUUGGGACAGAGCUGGGAGGAUUUGGAGGGUGGGCAGGAGGAGGGGCAGAGCAUGGGUUUCCAGCUGUGUCAGCUGCCUUCCCUGGAGCUUGGCCUUUAUGCUCUGUGGCCACUAGGAGGCACUGAGGACCUGAAUUUGGGAAAAGCAAUUUUUGGCUGUUCUCUUAUCCUGAAGGUAGGUCCAAACAGGCUUCUGGAGCCACUCUAUGUGCAACACAAGGGAAGGGGGGCCUAAUAUCAGUUGCAUGCCAGUAGUUCCCUUUAUGGAAGUUCCAGUAAACAUCUCCUAACCUUAAAGCACUGUAGAGCAGGAGAGUGAGUCUUGAGAAAAGUUAACUGAGGGCACCAAGAGUGAUUUAAGGGAGAAUGAGACCCCAGCUGUGCCUGUGCUCCUGGUGAGAGGAGUAUUUGAAUUUCCCCUAAUCUCAGCCAGCCUGGAGAGCUUUCGUAACCCUCCUCCUGCACAGCAAAGUGGUCCUGGGAUUCCUUCUCCAGCCACGCCAAGACUUCCCAGUGGAAGGCAAGGAUAUUCCAAGGCUGGUUUGAAUUCCUGGGGUCUGCCACGGACUCUGCCUCUUGAGAUUCAGCGAAUGCAUAUGAAAUGUGUUAAUAUCUGGACACCUUUGCUUUCUUGCCCAGGGAUGAAGAAGUAUUUGGUAUAGAGAAUCAUGUCAGAGUGGGUGAGGAGAGGCAGGGCAAGAAGUACAUUUGCAUGGAGGCCCUCCCUUCUCUGAGGCAGGGUGAGUGGAUAAGAGAGCUAUGGGGGAGCCAGGCUCAGGGUUGGGGUCUGAGAAGUCAGUACUCUUAGAGCGUCUCCACCGUGGCUUGGGCUCUGGUCCUCCUCACCCUCGUCACGCAGGACACAGGUGAGCCCUCCAGGAAAGGGAGCACAGGAACAUCUGGGUGGAUCCUUUGAAUCCUUCUCAGACUCACCUGGGGCCCCAGCACUAAACUCAUUAGAUCGUGUUCAUUCAUUUUUCAGGAACCUGGGCACAGUCUUCCUUAAGUCAGCCUCCCUCAGUAUCUGGGGCCCUGGGUCAGACCAUCGCCAUCUCCUGUGCUGGAAGCAGCAGUAACAUUGGGAGUGGUAAUUAUGUCUCCUGGUAUCAGCAGGUCCCAGGCACUUAUGCAAACUCCUGAGUUGUAAUGUAAAUACUCAGCCAUCAGGGAACCCUGAUUCCUUCUCUGGCUCCAGAUCUGGAAACAGAGCCUCCCUGAUCAUCUCUGGGCUCCAGGCUGAAGAGGAGGUUGAGUAUUACUGAUGCUCAUAUGGUGGGAGCUACAAUUUUUCACAGUGAUCCCAUUUCAUGAGGAAGUGAGACCAACACCUGCUCUGUUCACAGGCUCCCUACUUGCUCUGAAGAUGCUCACCCAACAUGGGGACAUCUGGAUGCACAUUUCUGUGGAGGCCGCUCUAUCCUCUGGGGCAGGUUUUAUUUAUUUAUUUGAAAAAGGCAGCUGGCCAGCGAGAGAAGGAACAUGAUCAGGGGGAGUGGGAGAGGAAGAAGCAGGCUCCCAGUGGAGGAGCCUGUUGCUGUGCUCAAUCCCAGAAGGUUGGGAUCAUGCCCUGUGCUGAAGGCAGACGCUUAACUGCUGAGCCACCCAGGUACCCGAAUGGUUUUCCCCUUUAAACCAUCUAAUGAGAAAGCACACUAGGUCAGGCAGCUCUCUGUGAGUGGAAAGGACUUCUCCCCAGGAAGGUGCACAGCUAUGAAUUGUGAGUCUCUGUACGGAGAAGAUUAAGUGAAGAAUGUCUUCUGCCCCAUGUGAUAGAGAAAUGAACUCUGAUUUUAAGUCCCAGGGGUGGGCUCUUUAGAGUAAUCCUGACCCCAGUUCCCUUCUACCUAAUUCACAAACCCUGGAAAACUGCUCCUAUUUACAGUGGCUGUUUCAGAUGCUGACUGAACUCUCUUUCUCAUUCUCUCUCCCAAUAUUUUUUGAUUCAAAAGUAUAAGAAACCAAUAGUUUGUUUUUUUCCUCGCCUGUGCCUUUUUUUCAUCCCGGCUUUCUUCAGAAUAUUGUUUUAUUUAAUCUCUAAUAUUUCCACAGCCCUGAGCCAUGAACUGCCACACUAACACAAACUCUGUGACAAGGCUGUUAAUGGGGGAAAGCUAGCUGGUGCUGAGGGGUAGGGUCUGAAGCCCCUGGUGUGGCAGGUGACCCAUUCCUUUCUUGAGGAAGAUGGAUUUAAGAGCAAUCUCAGGACUUGGUACUGACUGGAAAGUGAAAAAAGAAGGAGGAGAAGAAGCAGAGAAGAAAUUCCAGCUCUCACUCAGCAGCCUUCCAUGGUGCUUGGGUUGCACCAUCUGUGACCAACAGGGGGGAGCAAGGACCUGGAUUUGAGGAAGGUCAUGACUGAGAUUUACCCUGACCUAUACAGAGUCCCAUGAGUUGAUUCCUCCUGAGUCAUGCAAAGGAGGACCUUGUGUGAAGGGUGAUCCAAAUCUAUUUUGCCCAAAUAAGUCCCCUGUGAGAGGCCAAGCGACACCCCAGGCCUCAGCUUCAGAGUCCUGCAAGGAAGGGGACUCAGAAGCAAGAGGACCCACCCUACUAAGGAGGAGAGGCACCAUCAGCACAACACAAGUGGAAAGGAAUGGGAUCAUUCCUCAACUAUAUGAGGACUCCCACAGUAGGAACUAAGGGACAUUCCACAUCUGGCUCCAUUUCCUGCGCAGAAACAUGAGCUCUGUCCUAGAAAAUCCGUGUCAAAUUAUUGGAAUCCUUCAGCUAAGUUCUUUUGCCCUGGGAUGCAGAUACACCUAGAAUGAAGAGUCAGAUCAGAGGGGGUGAGGAGAGGCUUGUGCAGGAAGCACAUAUGCAUGGAGGCCUCCUCCUCUUCGAAGCAGGGGGAGGGGAUUAGAGGAGGGGGGCAGCCAGCCUUCAGGUUGGGGUCUCAGAAGUCAGUCCUCUUGGGGUGUCCCCACCCCGGCCUGGAGUCUGGUCCUCCUCACGCUAUUCAGUCAAUGCACAGGUGAGGCCUCCAUGCACGGGACCAUGGGUACAUGUGGGCUCAUCUGUUUCUCCUCCUCGGUAUUACCAGGCCCAGUAGUGACUUUAAAAGGGUGUGUUUUGUACUUUUCAGUGCCCUGAAUCAAUCUCCCUCAGUAUCUGGGUCUCUGGGAAGGACUGUCACCAUCUCCUGUGCCUAAAGAAGCAGUGAUAUUGGGGCUUUUGACUAUGUCUCCUGGCAGAAACAGCACCUGCGAUCGACUCUUAAACCUGUAAUUCAUUGUGUCAAUAAGCAGCCCUCAGGGAUUCCUGAUCACUUCUCUGGCUCCAGCUCUGGCAACACAGCCUCCCUGAUCAUCUCUGGUCUCCCAUCCAAGGAUGAGGAUGAUUAUGACUGUGCCUCAUAUACAGACCGUGGCAGUUAUCACCAUUCAUGGUAAUGUGACACGAACACCUGUACUGAGCUUGCAGGCUCCCUCCUUGCUCUGAAGAUAAUACCCAAUCCUGUGCAGAGGGUGCUUCCUGCAAUGACGCCACGAGAACACAGUUCCUCACCCUCUCUUGUCCUCCAACGACGUCCAAAAGGAAGACAUUCCCUUGAUGAAUUUUCUAGGGACAGAGUCAACUUAGCGUAAUAAAAAAUUGUUAUUAAAAAAAAAUUCUACCAUUGCUCACACUGGUACAGGACACAGCUGGUUUCCCGUGUAACUUGUUUUCCAACAAAACUUCAGGAAUGAAGUAGGAUGCCUUGGGAAUUUCACAAAGUGAAGACAACCUAUGGAAUGGGAGAGAAUAUUUAUUAAAUAUACAUGUAUAAGGGGUCAAUAUCCAAAAUUUAGAGGAAAAACAAUUCUUACAUUCAUGCCAGAAAGUAGUUCUGCAAAUUGGAGCUGGGUUCCCAGUCAUGUUAGACAAGUGCUCUUCAACCCAGUGAAACUGUAAAGUAGGGGCACUGUCACCCGUGCUGUUUUCAUUUCAAAGUGAUGAGUCUUAGGAACUUGGAAAAGAGAUCCCUUGGUUGUAAACCUGACAAGGGUCUUAUUUAUGUGUGAAACACAUUGUGUAAUUAAGGGAGGGCAGAGAAAAAAUUUAAAACUCAUGUUUUCUUGGUAAACAAGAAAAGGAAGGAGUGGAAGGCCUUUCUUUCUCGGUGAUUAGUGACAAUUUCUUUCCCCCCCACCACAUUUUUUCUUAGAUUUAUAUUUACUAUUAAACACUCAAGUCACAUUUGUAGGGAAUUACUCAGGAGGCAGCCUGGCAUAUUCUUGUCUUGUCUUUGUGCCUCCAAAGCAUUCCACGUUCAGGAUCAUCUUUCCUUCCUUUUUAUCUGCCUUCUGGAUCUGCCCCUAACAUGCUGAAGUGAGCCAGGAGGGAGGUCACAGACCACAGCCUCAACAGAACCAUGGGAGGGUGGCUUUGUCCUACCAUUGGCUCAUUCUCUUUUCCAGUUUGUUUCUCAAGGAUUCUGUGUGAAUUUAUUUCCACAAAAAAUAAAAUACCCACGGAGUAGUGUUUCUCCAUUUUCGUCUUGUGGCUUAUGGCAACUGUCUCUUCUAUAUUUGUUCACAGUCUGCUCUACGUAAAGUACAGAAAAAGUGCUCAGGUGUAUUUGAGUGUGCUUUCAAAAUUCUUUCAUUAUGAUGCUU